UCGCGGCUUAUCACCGGCAGUCCCCUUAGAGUGCCCAACUGAAUGCUGGCAACUAAGGGCAGGGGUUGCGCUCGUUGCGGCACUUAAGCCAACACCUCACGGCACGAGCUGACGACAGCCAUGCAGCACCUGUGCUAGCCCCUUACGGACACGCGCUUUCACGCGCUUUAACUAGCAUGUCAAGCCUAGGUAAGGUUCUUCGCGUUGCAUCGAAUUAAGCAACAUGCUCCGCCGCUUGUGCGGGCCCCCGUCAAUUCCUUUGAGUCUCAGCCUUGCGGCCGUACUCCCCAGGCGGGGCACUUCAUGCGUUAGCGCCGGCACCCAGGGGGUCGCUCCCCCAGGCACCUAGUGCCCAUCGUUUACGGCGUGGACUAC
rnacentral:misc_RNA from 1 species